rnacentral:rRNA from 1 species
AACGAACGCUGGCGGCGUGUUUAAGACAUGCAAGUCGCACGGGAUAAGACAUGUAGUAAUACUUGUUUUAUUUAGUGGCGCACGGGUGAGUAACACGAGAAUUACAUGCCCUAUAGUGGGGAAUAGCCCAGGGAAACUUGGAUUAAUACCCCAUGGUAUCGAAAGAUUAAAGGUGGCCGCAAGGCUGUCGCUAUAGGAUUGGUUCGCGCCCUAUCAGCUCGUUGGUGAGGUAACGGCUCACCAAGGCAAUGACGGGUACCUGGUCUGAGAGGACGAUCAGGCACACUGGAACUGAGACACGGUCCAGACACCUACGGGUGGCAGCAGUCGAGAAUAAUUCGCAAUGGGGGCAACCCUGAUGGUGCAACGCCGCGUGGAGGAUGACGGUCUUCGGAUUGUAAACUCCUGUCAUCUGGGAGAAAGACCUGACGGUAAAUAGCCGGCAGGGUUGAUAGUACCAGAAGAGGAAGGGACGGCUAACUUCGUGCCAGCAGCCGCCGUAA